AGGUCUUAGGACUCUGAUAUCUCCACGGCAGUGACUGAAACAGGUAGAGAAGUCACACAAUUUGUAGGGAAGGUGGAGCCCUGCUGUGGUCUCUGGGUGUGCUGAGGGUCGUGGUUGUGUCACAAGGGGUGUGGGGACUCUGUCCUCAUCAGCCUGUUGUCCAGCCCGCACACUGUGCAUCUCCUCCUGUCUCCUGCCCUCCUGGGAGGUGACUCUGUCUUUGAAGUUUUCAUCCUCUACCUUCUGUGACCACUCCCUCAUGUCUGUCUUGACCACCUUGGAAUCUUGUGCCCAUCUCACUUGGUUUUACUGUGUUCUUUAUCCCAACAGUGUGAGUGCAGAGGGCCUGCAGCGGGAGGAGGAAGAAGACCAUUUGACUCCCUCUGGCCGGUCUGAGCCUGGUGAGACCCAGCAGCCUCCCUGCACCACUGCUGCUCUGGUAGAUGAGGUAGAGGCCCCUUCUCCAGGCACCUCCGAAAAUCAAAAUCACCCUGAGGACGAGGAUGCCCAGGAGCGAGAAUCGCCCAGGUAACUGAGCGUGGAGGACCAGUGAUGGUAACCAAGGUGACAUGGAGAUUUCCUGUGUAGAUCCCAGGGAAAUCAGAUCUCCUGAGCACACUUAUUUCACCCAGUCAGGCAGCCACCGAGUCUGUGUUUAAACCAUGCCGCUAACCUUGUUUCCUUUUCUUGUAUGGACUAUUGAUUUUACUAGUUUCUUGGUAAUCCGAAUAGAAUCCAGGAGAGCUAUCAUGACCGUGGGUUUCAGUAUUCACGCACACGUGCCCACUUGUUCCCUCGAGGAUUAAACUCAGAGAGGGAUGCAGAACUGCCCUCUGCAUACGAGGCCUUGGCUCAUUGUCAGGUUUUUCACAGGCAGGAAACUGUGGAGCUAAGGAAACAGGGCAGACAUGAGGGGUAGGUGUAGAUAUGCUCAGGAAUCCACACUAUGCCAGAU
rnacentral:lncRNA from 1 species